UGACAUCAAUGAUGAACUAUAGUUAUCCCUGUCAUAAAAUUAUGUUGAGAAGCACGUCAGCCUGAGAUGUCA